GGCUGUUCGCCCAUUAAAGCGGUACGCGAGCUGGGUUCAGAACGUCGUGAGACAGUUCGGUCCCUAUCUGCUGUGGGCGUUGGAGAAUUGAGGAGAUCUGUCCCUAGUACGAGAGGACCGGGAUGGACGCACCUCUGGUGUAUCUGUUGUCCUGCCAAGGGCAUCGCAGGUUAGCUACGUACGGAUUGGAUAACCGCUGAAAGCAUCUAAGCGGGAAGCCAGCUCCAAGAUUGGUUCUCCCAUCUCUUUAAGAGAGUAAGACUCCUGGUAGACCACCAGGUUGAUAGGCCGGAUCUGGAAGGGCGGUGACGCCUGUAGGAGACCGGUACUAAUUAGUCGAGGGCUUUACGG
rnacentral:rRNA from 1 species